rnacentral:misc_RNA from 1 species
AACGCACAUUGCGCCUUUUGGUAUUCCGAAAGGCAUGUCUGUUUGAGCGUCAUUUCAACACUCUAUCUGGCUUAAUUGUCGGUUGGGUUUUGAGCCAGGCCCAGCAAUGGACCGGUUUUAAAGUUGAACGCUCUGCGGGUGACUUAGCCUGACCGAACAUAGUAAAAUUUUGAAUUGUUCAUAAAGCAAAGUGAAACCCAGCCUGAACAAAACCAUAUUUCUUAGGUUUGACCUCAGAUCAGACAAGGAUACCCACUGAACUUAA